rnacentral:rRNA from 1 species
UACGGGGGGGGCAAGCGUUGUUCGGAAUUACUGGGCGUAAAGGGCUCGUAGGCGGCCAACUAAGUCAGACGUGAAAUCCCUCGGCUUAACCGGGGAACUGCGUCUGAUACUGGAUGGCUUGAGUUUGGGAGAGGGAUGCGGAAUUUCAGGUGUAGCGGUGAAAUGCGUAGAUAUCUGGAGGAACACCAAUAGCGAAGGCAGCUCGCUGGGACGGUACUGACGCUGAGACGCGAAAGCGUGGGGAGCAAACAGG